rnacentral:tRNA from 1 species
GCCGAAGUGGUGGAAUUGGCAGACACGCAUGCCUUAGGAGCAUGUAGGGGAAUACCCUGUGCAGGUUCAACUCCUGUCUUCGGCACCA